rnacentral:rRNA from 1 species
UACAGAGGCCUCGAGCGUUAAUCGGAAUCACUGGGCUUAAAGGGUGCGUAGGCGGCGCUGCAAGUGCCUUGUGAAAUCCCAUCGCUUAACGAUGGAACUGCUCGGUAGACUGCAGUGCUUGAGGUUGGUAGGGGCUGCCGGAACUCUAGGUGGAGCGGUGAAAUGCGUAGAUAUCAAGAGGAACACCUGCGGCGAAGGCGGGUUGCUGGGCUGACACUGACGCUGAAGCGCGAAAGCCAGGGGAGCGAACGGG